rnacentral:rRNA from 1 species
UACAGAGGUCUCGAGCGUUAGUCGGAAUCACUGGGCUUAAAGCGUACGUAGGCGGAUAUGCAGGCGUCGUGUGAAAUCCCCCCGGCUCAACCGAGGAACUGCACGGCGAACCGCAUGUCUUGAGACAAGUAGGGGCGGUCGGAACGAUAGGUGGAGUGGUGAAAUGCGUUGAUAUCUAUCGGAACGCCGAAGGUGAAGACAGGCCGCUGGGCUUGUUCUGACGCUGAGGUACGAAAGCGUGGGUAGCGAACGGG